rnacentral:rRNA from 1 species
AGAGUUUGAUCCUGGCUCAGGAUGAACGCUGGCGGCGUGCCUAAUACAUGCAAGUCGAACGCUUCACUUCGGUGAAGAGUGGCGAACGGGUGAGUAAUACAUAAGUAACCUGGCAUCUACAGGGGGAUAACUGAUGGAAACGUCAGCUAAGACCGCAUAGGUGUAGAGAUCGCAUGAACUCUAUAUGAAAAGUGCUACGGGACUGGUAGAUGAUGGACUUAUGGCGCAUUAGCUGGUUGGUAGGGUAACGGCCUACCAAGGCGACGAUGCGUAGCCGACCUGAGAGGGUGACCGGCCACACUGGGACUGAGACACGGCCCAGACUCCUACGGGAGGCAGCAGUAGGGAAUUUUCGGCAAUGGGGGAAACCCUGACCGAGCAACGCCGCGUGAAGGAAGAAGUAAUUCGUUAUGUAAACUUCUGUCAUAGAGGAAGAACGGUGGAUAUAGGGAAUGAUAUCCAAGUGACGGUACUCUAUAAGAAAGCCACGGCUAACUACGUGCCAGCAGCCGCGGUAAUACGUAGGUGGCGAGCGUUAUCCGGAAUUAUUGGGCGUAAAGAGGGAGCAGGCGGCACUAAGGGUCUGUGGUGAAAGAUCGAAGCUUAACUUCGGUAAGCCAUGGAAACCGUAGAGCUAGAGUGUGUGAGAGGAUCGUGGAAUUCCAUGUGUAGCGGUGAAAUGCGUAGAUAUAUGGAGGAACACCAGUGGCGAAGGCGACGAUCUGGCGCAUAACUGACGCUCAGUCCCGAAAGCGUGGGGAGCAAAUAGGAUUAGAUACCCUAGUAGUCCACGCCGUAAACGAUGAGUACUAAGUGUUGGGAGUCAAAUCUCAGUGCUGCAGUUAACGCAAUAAGUACUCCGCCUGAGUAGUACGUUCGCAAGAAUGAAACUCAAAGGAAUUGACG